GUAUAUCGGGCAUAAUGGAUUUAGCGGGGCGAAUUCGCCUUGUGCCAGCAGCCGCGCUAAUACGGCAGGGGCAGGCGUUAUCCGGAUUCCCUGGUUUAAAGGGCGCGUAGGCGUGAGGUAAGUCUGUGGUGAAAUCUCAGAGCUUAACUCUGAAACUGCCAUUGAUACUAUUUAUCUUGAAUAUUGUGGAGGUAAGCGGAAUAUGUCAUGUAGCGCUGAAAUGCUUAGAUAUGACAUAGAACACCCAUUGCGAAGGGAGCUUACUACGCAUAUAUUGACGCUGAGGCACGAAGGCGAGUGGAUCAAACAGGAUUAGAUACCCUGGUAGUCCACGCCCUAAACGAUGGAUACUCGACAUACGCAAUACUCCGUGUGUGUCUGAGCGAAAGCAUUAAGUAUCCCACCUGAGAAGUACGACCGCAAGUUGGAAAACUCAAAGGAAUUGGCGGGGGGCCGCACAAGCGGUGGGAGCAUGUGGUUUUAUUUCGCUGAUACGCGAGGAACCUUACCUGGGCUAGAAUGCUGGGAGAUUGUAGGUGAAAGCUUACUUUGUAGCAAUACACUGCCAGUAAGGUGCUGGCAUGGCUGUCGGCAGUCGUCCGGAGUGGUUGGGUAAAGUCCCGCAACGAGCGCAACCCCUAUCUUUAGAUGCCACAGGAAUGCUGGGGACUCUAAAGAAACUGCCGCGGAGACGUGAGGAAGGAGGGGAUAUAUCAGUCUCCUGUCUUUAUGCCCAGGCUACACACGUGCUACAUGGGAGGACAAGGGCUGCACCCAGCGAUGGAGGCUAUUCCGAAACCUCUUCUCAAGUCAGAAUCGAGUCUGCACUCUGACUACGUGAGCUGGGAUCGCUAGUAUCGGAAUCAGCAUGAUCGCGAAUCCGGUUCCGGACUUGACUUCCACG
rnacentral:rRNA from 1 species